AUCAAUAAAUAUAGAUUCUUUCUUAUGUAGUUUUUGCUUUAAUCGAUCAUGUAUUGCAUUAGAUAUCUUGAAACUGUAGCAAAGUUUUAUGUUUUAUCUUUUUGUGGUUUUGCACUCUGUCUCGAAGGCUAUGUCAAACUGAGUGGCAUAGUCAUUGAGCAAACAGUGCAUAAACGAAUAGCUGUUAGAUCAGCAAGCGGCCAGACAACCGUUGGGAUAGAUCCACAGAAAAUAAUAGCUGUUGAAUCAGCAAGCGGCCAGACAACCGUUGGGAUAGAUCCACAGGUGUUGCAGAUUUUAUCUGUUUUCAGCUACUAAAUCUAUCCUACAAUUUGUUUUCUUGUGAAUCAGUAUUAGACAAAGCUUUUUUUUCAAGUACGGCAUAGCAUGGGAUUGGUUCGUCGAUUGGUUUUCGAUAUGUUCUAGUUAUCUGGUAUUUGCUAGUCAUUACAGGGUCUUUCACUUCUGCUGGUUCUUGAAAAAUGUUCUCGGUUUUUGUGUUUAUCAUGAGUAUUGUAGUGAUUUCUAGAAAUCUUAAUGGAAUCAUAGUUGGUUGUUC